rnacentral:rRNA from 1 species
CAGUCGCCACGGGAAUACGAAGGGUGCAAGCGUUACUCGGAAUUACUGGGCGUAAAGCGUGCGUAGGUGGUUGUUUAAGUCUGCUGUGAAAGCCCUGGGCUCAACCUGGGAAUUGCAGUGGAUACUGGGCAACUAGAGUAAGGUAGAGGAUAGUGGAAUUUCCGGUGUAGCAGUGAAAUGCGUAGAGAUCGGAAGGAACAUCUGUGGCGAAGGCGACUAUCUGGGCCAUUACUGACACUGAGGCACGAAAGCGUGGGGAGCAAACAGGAUUAGAUACCCCUGUAGUCCCUGUCUCUUAUAC